UAGACCUAAGGAUUUAGUUUUAAAAUAAAGGGUAGAAAUGUAGUUAGGCUUAAGGUUAUUAAUCUUGAGAGUUUUGUAUAAAGGUGAAAUUUGUGUAUAGAAAUUUAUGUCUAAAAGAUUGUUGUGCUGAAGCGUACUAAGAUUAAGGUUUAGACUAGGAUUAGAUACCCUAUUAUUCUUAGUUUUAAGUGUUAAUAUACCAGGGUAUUAUGGAUAAAUGUAUCUCAAACUCGAAGAACUUGGCGGUGUUAAUUAGAUUUAUCAGGGGAACUUGUCUCAUAAUCGAUGAUCCUCGAUAUGCCUAACCUUUUUAGGUAUUCAGCUUGUAUACCGUCGUCGUUAGUUAACUUUUGAAAAUUUAAUAGUUAUCUUAAAAAAUUUUUGUUUUGGAUGUCAGAUCAAGGUGCAGUUUAUGGAAAGGUGUAGGAUGAGUUACAAUUAGAGGAUUUAUAGCGGAUAUAUUAGUUAAAUGGUUGUGUUGAAGGUGGACUUGAAAGUAAAUUUGUUUAUGUUAGACAGUUUGAAUGUAUGCUGAGGUGUGC
rnacentral:rRNA from 1 species